AUUGAACGCUGGCGGCAGGCUUAACACAUGCAAGUCGAGCGGGGUGAUGGUGCUUGCACUAUCACUUAGCGGCGGACGGGUGAGUAAUGCUUAGGAAUCUGCCUAUUAGUGGGGGACAACAUCUCGAAAGGGAUGCUAAUACCGCAUACGUCCUACGGGAGAAAGCAGGGGAUCACUUGUGACCUUGCGCUAAUAGAUGAGCCUAAGUCGGAUUAGCUAGUUGGUGGGGUAAAGGCCUACCAAGGCGACGAUCUGUAGCGGGUCUGAGAGGAUGAUCCGCCACACUGGGACUGAGACACGGCCCAGACUCCUACGGGAGGCAGCAGUGGGGAAUAUUGGACAAUGGGGGGAACCCUGAUCCAGCCAUGCCGCGUGUGUGAAGAAGGCCUUAUGGUUGUAAAGCACUUUAAGCGAGGAGGAGGCUUACCUAGUUAAUACCUGGGAUAAGUGGACGUUACUCGCAGAAUAAGCACCGGCUAACUACGUGCCAGCCGCCGCCGUAA
rnacentral:rRNA from 1 species